GGGCCCAUAGUAAAACGGUAUUACACGGCAUUCGCAUUGCCGGGGUCCGGGUCCAAUUCCCGGUGGGUCCACCA
rnacentral:tRNA from 1 species